rnacentral:rRNA from 1 species
GAACGGGGAGCAGCCCAGAGCCUGAAUCAGUAUGUGUGUUAGUGGAAGCGUCUGGAAAGGCGCGCGAUACAGGGUGACAGCCCCGUACACAAAAAUGCACAUGCUGUGAGCUCGAUGAGUAGGGCGGGACACGUGGUAUCCUGUCUGAAUAUGGGGGGACCAUCCUCCAAGGCUAAAUACUCCUGACUGACCGAUAGUGAACCAGUACCGUGAGGGAAAGGCGAAAAGAACCCCGGCGAGGGGAGUGAAAAAGAACCUGAAACCGUGUACGUACAAGCAGUGGGAGCACGCUUAGG